UACGGAGGGCGCAAGCGUUGUUCGGAAUCACUGGGCGUAAAGCGCGUGUAGGCGGUUCAGCGAGUCGGCUGUGAAAGCCCGAGGCUCAACCUCGGGACUGCAGCCGAAACUGCCGGGCUCGAGUCCCGGAGAGGGUGGCGGAAUUUCCGGUGUAGAGGUGAAAUUCGUAGAUAUCGGAAGGAACACCAGAGGCGAAGGCGGCCACCUGGACGGUGACUGACGCUGAGACGCGAAAGCGUGGGGAGCAAACAGG
rnacentral:rRNA from 1 species